CAUCCUUGUUCUUGAUCUUCACUUCGAGCGCCUCAAUCAAUCCUUCCCGCCAUUUCUCUCGAGUCUCACACCCUCACUCACCCAAAUCCUCUCCAUUUGAUGCUCUCACGAUCACUCUGUUCAUGCCAUUGUCUACUUCUCCCCUCUCUCCGCCGUCUCCACACCCCCAUCUCCCUCUUCCGCCCUAAACCCUCUUCUCUUCCUCUCAUUUCCCUCUUACCCCAAAACCCUAAUCUUCGCGCCAUGUCCUCCCGCCCCUCCGCCUUCGACGCCCUCAUGUCCGGCGCCCGCGCCGCCGCCGCCAAGAAAAAGCCCCAGCCUUCUCCCUCCAAGAAGCGCAAAGCCCUAGACUCCACUUACCCUAUCAAAAAACCCCAAUUGCUGCCUACGCCCGAAAGCGCCUGCGCAACCCAAGACCCAGAAUCCGUGGAAGUCAAAGCUCCGGAAUCCAAGGAAAUUAAAGAAGCUCAAGAAAGUUCUGGCAAUGGCGGUGAGGUGGUUCCGGCAGGGAAGACAGUGUGCGUGGCGGCGGGUGCUAAGGAGCGGACUGAGGAAUUGAAGAGCCGAAUGCCGCUACUGAAGAAGAAAGCCGGGGAAUUUGACCCAAAAUUGGUGGCGAAUUGGGGCCAGGGCGAGAGGGUUCCUUUUGUGUUUGUUUGUUGAGUUUUCGAUUUGAUUGACAAAGAGACGGGUCGAAUUGUGAUCACGGAUAUUGUUUGUAACAUGUUGAGGACUGUAAUGUACACCACGCCUGAGGAUUUGGUGCCUGUGAUUUAUCUUGCGGCGAAUAGGAUUGCUCCUGCGCAUGAAGGUUUGGAGCUUGGAAUUGGGGAUGCUUCGAUUGUUAAGGCCCUUGCAGAGGCUUGUGGGAGGACUGAAGCGCAUGUGAAGAAGCAAUACAAGGAGCUGGGAGAUCUUGGUCAUGUUGCAAAGGAAAGCCGUUCUUCUCAAUCUAUGAUGCGCAAGCCUGAUGCAUUAACUGUCACCAAGGUUUUUAGUACAUUUCGUCUACUAGCUAAGGAAUCUGGGAAGGAUAGUCAGGAGAAGAAAAAGAACCAUAUCAAGGCACUUCUUGUUGCUGCCACUGACUGUGAACCUCUAUAUCUGAUCCGUUUGCUUCAGACAAAGUUGCGAAUUGGAUUGGCAGAGCAGACUCUAUUAACUGCAUUGGGACAAGCUGCAGUGUAUACUGAAAAACAUUCGACACCACCUUCUCAUAUUCAGAGUCCUCUAGAAGAGGCAGCAAAGAUUGUUAAGCAAGUGUACUCUCUGCUUCCUGAUUACGAUAAAAUCAUCCCUGCCCUUUUAAGUGGAGGUGUAUGGAAUCUUCCAGAGAUAUGCAACUUUACUUUGGGCGUCCCAGUUGGGCCUAUGCUAGCAAAACCAACUAAAGGGGUAUCUGAGAUUGUACAGAAGUUUCAGGAUACAGAAUACACGUGUGAAUACAAGUACGAUGGAGAACGUGCCCAGAUACAUUUCAUGGAGAAUGGUUCUGUUGAGAUAUACAGUCGAAAUGCUGAACGAAACACUGGAAAGUAUCCUGAUGUGGUUGCUGCAGUGUCGAGGUUAAAGAAGUCAUCUGUAACAUCAUUCGUUUUGGAUUGUGAAAUUGUUGCUUAUGACCGUGAAAAACAAAAAAUUCUGCCCUUCCAGGUACUCAGCACUAGAGCGCGUAAAAAUGUGAGCGUGAGUGAGAUCAAGGUUGAAGUCUGCAUAUUUGCUUUUGAUAUGUUGUACCUUAAUGGCCAACCACUUAUUCAGGAACAACUGAAAGUUCGUAGAGAGUGUCUGUAUGACUCUUUUGUGGAAGAAGCUGGGUUUUUUCAGUUUGCCACAGCCUUAACAUCAAAUGAUAUUGAUGAAAUACAAAAGUUUCUUGAUGCUGCUGUCAGUUCAAGUUCUGAGGGUUUAAUUAUUAAAACAUUGACCAAAGAUGCUACUUACGAGCCUUCAAAGCGGUCACUUAACUGGCUGAAAUUGAAGAAAGAUUACAUGGACAGUAUUGGGGACUCACUAGACUUGGUACCUAUUGCUGCUUUCCAUGGCCGGGGAAAACGUACAGGUGUCUAUGGUGCUUUCCUCCUCGCUUGUUAUGAUAGCAAUAAUGAAGAGUUUCAAAGCAUUUGUAAAGUAGGCACUGGACUCACUGAAGCAAUGCUUGAAGAACGUUCUGCCAGUCUCCGUACUAAAGUGAUACCCAAACCUAAGUCAUACUAUAGGUAUCAUGAUACAAUGAAUCCAGAUGUAUGGUUUGAACCCUCAGAGGUUUGGGAGGUGAAAGCUGCGGACCUGACUAUUAGCCCCGUUCAUCGUGCUGCAGUUGGCAUAGUGGAUGCUAAUAAGGGUAUUUCUCUCCGGUUUCCACGUCUUAUUCGAGUUCGGGAAGACAAACCUCCGGAGCAAGCCACAUCAUCUGAGCAGGUAGCCGAGUUGUAUAAUGCUCAAGCGAUCAACCAUUCAAACAAUCAAAAUGACAACGAAGAUGAUUAGGGAACAGAAUCUUCAUCAUUUUACUCAUUUCUGGAGACGUCUUGUGUGUAAAGAAAUCGGCACUCAUGUUGAUACAGCUCAUGUGAGUAUCUCAAUGUGAAUUUUUUAAAUUUUAAGCCGUUAGGGUUUAACCGUUACAUGAUGGAUCCUUCUGUGCUUUCACCAAUAGUCUGGUGCCAGAGGCAACAUAUAGAGGAGUCAAAAACAUUGAGAAUUUUAUCCUGGGCUGCUAAUAUUCAUCCUGUGCCGUUGCUCAUUUAGGAUAUAUUGGGCAAACUGUACUUUGUGUCAAAGCAUUAUCAACUCAAAAUUUUCUCUUUCAAUUGAGUACUAAUUUGUUUAGAAAAUUGACA